GAUGAACGCUGGCGGCGUGCCUAAUACAUGCAAGUCGAGCGAAUGGAUUAAGAGCUUGCUCUUAUGAAGUUAGCGGCGGACGGGUGAGUAACACGUGGGUAACCUGCCCAUAAGACUGGGAUAACUCCGGGAAACCGGGGCUAAUACCGGAUAAUAUUUUGAACUGCAUGGUUCAAAAUUGAAAGGCGGCUUCGGCUGUCACUUAUGGAUGGACCCGCGUCGCAUUAGCUAGUUGGUGAGGUAACGGCUCACCAAGGCAACGAUGCGUAGCCGACCUGGGAGGGGAAUCGGCCACACUGGGACUGAGACACGGCCCAGACUCCUACGGGAGGCAGCAGUAGGGAAUCUUCCGCAAUGGACGAAAGUCUGACGGAGCAACGCCGCGUGAGUGAUGAAGGCUUUCGGGUCGUAAAACUCUGUUGUUAGGGAAGAACAAGUGCUAGUUGAAUAAGCUGGCACCUUGACGGUACCUAACCAGAAAGCCACGGCUAACUACGUGCCAGCCGCCGCGGUAA
rnacentral:rRNA from 1 species